UAUUAAUAGAUAAAGAUUAACUAAAGUUAAAUACAAUAAAUUUAAAUAUAAAUAAUUUAUUAAUUAGCUUACUGAAAAGGAUUAUUUUUAAAUAAUUAAAAAGAAAGUUUAAUGUACCUUUUGCAUUAGGGGUUUUCAAAAUAAAAUAAAAUUUUAUUUUUCUCGAAACAUUUUGAGCUAAAAUUUAAAUUAAUUUAAUGUUUCAAUAUUAAAUUUAAUUAAAUUUUAGAGGUGAAAUUCUAUUCAAAAAUUGUGAUAUCUAGUUACAUAAAAUAACUAUAUGUUUCUCUAUAAUUAAAACUUAAUUUAAAAUUUUACAGAGAAGUAAUUUUGGGAUAAACUAAAAUUAAUCAGCCUAAAAAUUUUUUAAAACUUAAAUAAAGGAAUAAAAUUUUCCCUUUUAUUUUUAUAAAUAAUUUAUUUUAAUUUAAAGUUAAAUGACAUUUGUUACUUAUUAAAUUAAAUUUAAAAUUUAAGUAAAAAUGAAAAUAUUAGUAAAAUAACUAAAAUAAACUUAAAUUUAUUAAGAAAAUUAAAAAAAAUUUUAUAUAGUUUAUAUGAAUUAGGCAAAAAUUUCUCUGACUGUUUAAUAAAAACAACGCAUUUAGAAAAUAAAUAAAUGUAAAUCCUGCUCAAUGAAUAUUUAAAUUGCUGUAGUAUUUUGACUAUACAAAGGUAUUGAAAUAAGAUUUUAAUUGAAUGCUAAGAGAAUGGAAUUUCAGGGAAAAACUUUAUUUAAACUAUUAAUUAAAGUUUUUUUAAUUUGUGCGGAAACAAUUAUAAAAAUUAAGGACAAGAAGACCCUACGAAUUUAUCAAAUUUAUUAUUUGUAUUAAAACUAAUAGUAAGUUUUAGCUGGGGCGGCAAGAAAAUAUAAAAAACUUUUCAUAAAUAAAAUGAUCCAUUACUAAUGAUUAAAUGAAAAAAUACUCUAGGGAUAACAGCGUUAUAUUUUUUGAUAGACCAUAUUGACAAAAAAGUUUGCGACCUCGAUGUUGGAUUAGGAUACUUUUUUAAUGCAGAUAUUAAAAAAAGAAGUUUGUUCAACUUUUAAAUUCCUACAUGAUCUGAGUUUAGACCGAUGAGAAUCAGGUUGGAUUCUAUCUUAAUAAUAAUGAAUUUUCAAUUAGUACGAAAGGAAUUUUGAAUUCUAAUUAUUAGGAUAAACAAUUUUAUUUGCAUCAAUUUUUGUAAUU
rnacentral:rRNA from 1 species